rnacentral:rRNA from 1 species
GACGAACGCUGGCGGCGUGCUUAACACAUGCAAGUCACGGGGGCUGGAGCAAUCCAGUAACCGGCGAACGGGUGCGUAACACGUGAGCAACCUGCCGUACUCAGGGGGGAUAGCCGGCCCAACGGCCGGGUAAUACCGCAUACGAUUCUUCGGGGGAGUCCCCGGGGAAGGAAACCUCUGGGGGAGUACGAGGGGCUCGCGGCCUAUCAGCUAGUUGGUGCGGUAACGGCGCACCAAGGCGACGACGGGUAGCUGGCUGAGAGGAUGGCCAGCCACAUUGGGACUGAGAGACGGCCCAGACUCCUACGGGAGGCAGCAGUGGGGAAUCUUGCGCAAUGGCCGAAAGGCUGACGCAGCGACGCCGCGUGGGGGAUGAAGCAUUUCGGUGUGUAAACCCCUGUUGCCCGGGACGAACAGCGCUUUUCGAGGCGCCUGACGGUACCGGGUGAGGAAGCACCGGCUAACUCCGUGCCAGCAGCCGCCGUAAC